rnacentral:rRNA from 1 species
UACGGAGGGUGCGAGCGUUGUCCGGAAUCACUGGGCGUAAAGGGCGCGUAGGCGGCCUGAUAAGUAGGGGGUGAAAUCCUGCGGCUUAACCGCAGGGCUGCCUUCUAAACUGUCAGGCUGGAGCACAGUAGAGGCAGGUGGAAUUCCCGGUGUAGCGGUGGAAUGCGUAGAGAUCGGGAAGAACAUCAGUGGCGAAGGCGGCCUGCUGGGCUGUUGCUGACGCUGAGGCGCGACAGCUAGGGUAGCAAACGGG